rnacentral:rRNA from 1 species
CAAAUCAGGUAGGACUACCCGCUGAACUUAAGCAUAUCAAUAAGCGGA